UGCGUAGGUGGUGAGGUAAGUCGGAUGUGAAAGCUCGGAGCUCAACUCCGAAAUGGCAUUGGAAACUACCUUGCUCGAGGGUUGGAGGGGGGACUGGAAUACUUGGUGUAGCAGUGAAAUGCGUAGAUAUCAAGUGGAACACCAGUGGCGAAGGCGAGUCCCUGGACAACUCCUGACACUGAGGCACGAAAUGGAGGGCAAC
rnacentral:rRNA from 1 species